rnacentral:rRNA from 1 species
UGGGGAAUCUUGCACAAUGGGGGAAACCCUGAUGCAGCGACGCCGCGUGAGCGAUGAAGCCCUUCGGGGUGUAAAGCUCUUUCGGCAGGGACGAAACAUGACGGUACCUGCAGAAGCAGCUGCGGCUAACUACGUGCCAGCAGCCGCGGUAAUACGUAGGCAGCGAGCGUUGUUCGGAGUUACUGGGCGUAAAGGGUGCGUAGGCGGUCCCUUAAGUUUGGUGUGAAAUCUCCCGGCUCAACUGGGAGGGUGCGCCGGAUACUGAGGGGCUAGAGUGCGGGAGAGGAAAGUGGAAUUCCUGGUGUAGCGGUGAAAUGCGUAGAUAUCAGGAGGAACACCGGUGGUGUAAACGGCUUUCUGGACCGUAACUGACGCUGAGGCACGAAAGCGUGGGGAGCAAACA